rnacentral:rRNA from 1 species
UCCUACGGGGGGCAGCAGUGGGGAAUAUUGGGCAAUGGGCGCAAGCCUGACCCAGCAACGCCGCGUGAAGGAAGAAGGCUUUCGGGUUGUAAACUUCUUUUAUUCGGGACGAAGAAAGUGACGGUACCGAAUGAAUAAGCCACGGCUAACUACGUGCCAGCAGCCGCGGUAAUACGUAGGUGGCAAGCGUUAUCCGGAUUUACUGGGUGUAAAGGGCGUGUAGGCGGGACUGCAAGUCAGAUGUGAAAAUUAUGGGCUCAACCCAUAACCUGCAUUUGAAACUGUAGUUCUUGAGUGAUGGAGAG